rnacentral:misc_RNA from 1 species
UCAAGGAAUUGCCAUCAAGCUAGGACACAAUCAAAACCAUGACGCACUGGGUUGAGCACCAAAACCAGAGGAGUUGUAGACCCUUCUGUUGGGAAGAAACAAGCACCAAGCUUGGUGCACCGCAAAGGACUAGACUUGGCCAAAUCUCCUGAAGGAUGUCCCAGCAAAAGAUCCCCUGAUCAGAGAAGGAUUUAUGCUAGCAGCU